rnacentral:rRNA from 1 species
UUAUUUGAGAGUUUGAUCCUGGCUCAGGACGAACGCUGGCGGCGUGCCUAAUACAUGCAAGUUGAGCGCUGAAGGUUGGUACUUGUACCGACUGGAUGAGCAGCGAACGGGUGAGUAACGCGUGGGGAAUCUGCCUUUGAGCGGGGGACAACAUUUGGAAACGAA